CCUGCCCCUAGAGGUGUAGCCGGUGUGGCUGCUGUGUCCCAGGUGCAUCGGUAGGUGGCAGAGAGGAGAGAAGCUAUGGCUAUGCUCAGUUUCCUGACCUGUAAACAUCUGAAUGAUGAGUAGUUUAACCAC